CCUACGGGGAGCAGCAGUGAGGAAUAUUGGUCAAUGGGCGCGAGCCUGAACCAGCCAAGUCGCGUGAGGGAUGAAGGUUCUAUGGAUCGUAAACCUCUUUUAUAAGGGAAUAAUGUGUGGGACGUGUCCUAUUUUGUAUGUACCUUAUGAAUAAGGAUCGGCUAACUCCGUGCCAGCAGCCGCGGUAAUACGGAGGAUCCGAGCGUUAUCCGGAUUUAUUGGGUUUAAAGGGUGCGUAGGCGGCCUUUUAAGUCAGCGGUGAAAGUCUGUGGCUCAACCAUAGAAUUGGCGUUGAAACUGGGGGGCGUGAGUAUGUUUGAGGCAGGGGGAAUGCGUGGUGGAGCGGUGAAAUGCUUAGAUAUCACGCAGAACCCCGAUUGCGAAGGCAGCAUACCGGCUCCACACUGACGCUGAGGCACGAAAGCGUGGGUAUCGAACAGGAUUAGAUACCCGAGUAGUC
rnacentral:rRNA from 1 species